AGGGCAGUAGCUCAGCGGUAGAGAUUUCGCCUCUUAUGGGACAAGAUCCGGGUUCAACUCUCGGCUGCUUUG
rnacentral:tRNA from 1 species